AUUGAGCAUGGACCUCCACAUCCUUAUCAAGCUGUCAGUCAAAAUAAAUUUGAUUAAAGAAAGAAAUACUCAUUCCAUCCCAUUUUGUUUAUUUAUAAUUCAAUUUUUCAUAAUACUAAGUUUAGCAUUAGUACAGAAAAUGUAUAUAUUUAGAAACUACACUAAAAAUACUAUUGAACACAUAAAAUCAAAUUUAAAAAUAAUAAGAAAAUACUAAAGAUAAUAAACAAAGAAGAAAGAGUUGGUUUGACUGAAUAGUAAAUAAGACGGGUAAAAAGGGACAAAGGGAGUAUUAUUUAUUUGGGUUGGCAGACAGAAUUUAUUCCAACAAAUCAUUUGUAACAAAAGAAACAACCUUUGAAGAGAGAGAGAGAGAGAGGGGGAAAAAAAAAGGUUAAACACAAAAACCAUUGCUUAUUGGGAAAAGGAUUUAAUGAUUCAAGUGUGCAAACAGAUACUAAAAA